CAGGGUGUAUCAAAAAAAGCGCAAUCCUCGAUUGAAAUGUAAAUUGCUAAACAAAUAAUAGACGAAAACGUUAAAGUUUACAUUCAUUUUAAAGCGUAGCCACUCAGCUUUCUAACAGUGGGUGGUUUCUUAAAUUUGACUCAUUGGUUCGCGGGUAAUAAUACUUUACGUUAUUGCGAUUGGAGAUUAAAAAAAUUGAGAUGCAAUAACAAAUCGUUCUCAUGAAAAUAACUGAUUUUUUCAUUAAAACAAAAAAAUGUUGCAUUUUAUUAAAUGGAUUGUGACAAUAAGUAUAAUUACGGCUUUUCUUCCACUAUUUUUAACUCAGUUUGAAAUCUCAAAUGCGAUAUAAUUUUGGCUUGGACCAUCUAACCUGACUGACAUCAACUUGCUAUAAUUUCUGUUUACAUUACAUCGCAAUUCGAUGACACUCUGGCUCAGACGCCAGAAUGUUUUGACGAUUUUUAGCAUUCGUUUAGGAUUUUCAAACAACCUGGUCUCUUUUAAAAUACUUUUAAUUUGUUCUUACGUGGUUUUCCAGAUGUAGUGACGACAACAUUAAAGUUUAGAGAAGAAAAUUCUAACAUUUAAACCGACUAAACAAUAACAUAGUAAACUUGCAUAAUUAAACAGCAACUAAAAAUGAUAGGUUUUACUAAAUCUUUUCCUGUGCAAUUAUUACUAGCAUUGGAGACAAG
rnacentral:lncRNA from 1 species